UAACCCAGAAAACUAUCUUUCCAUAUUUAUUAGGAGCAAAGCAGCAGGUGGGGAAGAUGGUGUGUGGAUGAAACCCUGAAAACAGACACGUAUUGAUGCUCACAGGCCAGAGGGGAACAAUGUGGAAAUUUUAGAAGCGACUAGGCCACACAAAAGAAACACACACAAGCAGAGUCUAAUGCAACAGUGAAAGGAGCAUGGAGAAUCAGUUAGAGGCUGCGUUACCACACGCUCACAAAUUUAAAGCAUGGAUUAUCGGACGAGAGACAGGGAUGAGGAACUCCAACUUGGAUGCUGCUUGAUACUUGCUUUGUGUUAAUCAGAACUCAGGGGAGAGUGAGCGCUGUGACGGCAAUGAUGAAGAAAGAGAGACCGGUGGAUCCGUGACAAAAGGUUACCAGAGUCAGCCAGAUCCAGCUCCAUUCCUGCUUGGUGUCAGACUCCACUGCUACGUGUUGUUGACAAACUACAGCCGGUGCUAGCCAGACAUCACUUCAUUCUUUUGACUUCAAAGGAUGAACUGAUGCCAACUCCAACUGUAAGACAUCGGAUACUUCAUAUGCCACUGCCUGAACCUUGGCCUUAGGAUGGACCCCACCGAUCCUCACCGAAAUGACCUGCCAUUUGAACUGCGAUGCACCUCACUGAUCUCUGCCUGCAUCACCUUUGUCUAUUGAUGAACUACAAUCUUGAAAUGGAAUAAAUAGACUAUAAUUUAAUUGCCAACAAAAGCCUUCAUCAGCCAACUAACAAAGGACAAUGCAUCUAUGUGAACUUCUGCAGUUAAUUCAGGAUGAACUUCAAAAACAUUAGUCAAUCUUACAGUUAAUAAAAAAUAUUUUUUUAAACACUGGACCUUAAUGCUCAAUGUACAAAUUUUAAACCAUGACUUGCACUGCACACAAAUAACUAGUACUGGCAAUAAAUUCAUGUUGUUUAGCCAGAGGGGAACUGGCCCCCACAGUGAGCCUGGUUUCUCCCAAGGUUAUUUUUCUCUAUUAACCAAUAUCUUAUGGAGUUUUGUGUUCAGCUUGCUCACAGAGGUUCUAAAUACAAUUAUUAUUUAAUUUCUAUACACAAUUUACAAUCAUAUUUAAUCAAACUACACAAUGAUCACUCCAAGACAUUAGAUAUUAUAGUUUCAUUUUUUGUUAAUGCAUGAUUUCCUGUAAAGCUACUUUGAAACGAUGUGUGUUGUGAAAAGCGCUAUACAAAUAAAAAUGACUUAAUUACU